rnacentral:rRNA from 1 species
GAUGAACGCUGGCGGCGUGCCUAAUACAUGCAAGUCGAGCGAACAGAUAAGGAGCUUGCUCCUUUGAAGUUAGCGGCGGACGGGUGAGUAACACGUGGGUAACCUACCUAUAAGCCUGGGAUAACUUCGGGAAACCGGAGCUAAUACCGGCUAACAUUUAGAACCGCAUGGUUCUAAAGUGAAAGAUGGUUUUGCUAUCAUUUAUAGAUGGACCCGCGCCGUAUUAGCUAGUUGGUAAGGUAACGGCUUACCAAGGCGACGAUACGUAGCCGACCUGAGAGGGUGAUCGGCCACACUGGAACUGAGACACGGUCCAGACUCCUACGGGAGGCAGCAGUAGGGAAUCUUCCGCAAUGGGCGAAAGCCUGACGGAGCAACGCCGCGUGAGUGAUGAAGGGUUUCGGCUCGUAAAACUCUGUUAUUAGGGAAGAACAAAUGUGUAAGUAACUGUGCACAUCUUGACGGUACCUAAUCAGAAAGCCACGGCUAACUACGUGCCAGCAGCCGCGGUAA